rnacentral:misc_RNA from 1 species
GAUGAAGAACGCAGCGAAAUGCGAUAAGUAGUGUGAAUUGCAGAAUUCAGUGAAUCAUCGAAUCUUUGAACGCACAUUGCGCCCCUUGGUAUUCCAUGGGGCAUGCCUGUUCGAGCGUCAUUUGUACCUUCAAGCUCUGCUUCGUGUUGGGUGUUUGUCUCGCCUCUGCGUGUAGACUCGCCUUAAAACAAUUGGCAGCCGGCGUAUUGAUUUCGGAGCGCAGUACAUCUCGCGCUUUGCACUCAUAACGACGACGUCCAAAAGUACAUUUUUACACUCUUGACCUCGGAUCAGGUAGGGAUACCCGCUGAACUUAAGCAUAUCAAUAAGCGGAGGA